UGGAUGAGGGGUUGAGUACACGGGGUAUGGGUAGUGCUUCUAGCAAGGAUUAUAAUCAUAAAGUCCAUUUUAGCACUACCUGUGCACCUGUGUGCCCAAACCUAUCCAUAUCGAA
rnacentral:pre_miRNA from 1 species